GUUUAGCUAUUCUGAUUAUUUUACGGAUUCCACAGCCAGGUCAUUACAUCUGUUUCUGGGUCCUCCAGUGGAAUGGAAAGGAAGAAGAGAAAGAGAUCUGAAAAACAUUUGCAUCUGUUUUGCCAGAGUUUUUGUUUGGUUUGUGAGACAAUGCUUGUGGGUACUCACUCAAAUGGGGUUUGCACCUAAAGCUAUGUGAGAGCAGAAACAGUUUGGUGCCAUCCGUCACAGAACAAUGCAGACAUUAAAAAUCUGAAUCCCAGGAAGAACAGUUCUAUAUUCCAGAGCCAUCUCAAAUUUGGUCAACUGAAGAAAAGGAAACACAACCACUGCUAAAUCUUUACAGUACAAAGUUAUUGCUUGAGUGUCUGACUUUGGGCUGGAGCCUGGCAAUGAAGUCUGCAACUGGAGACCUAAUGCUGUCCAGCUGGGGCAAGGAGCAGGAAUGCACAAGGAUGGAGGCUCAGAAGGGCUUGUGUUUUCUUCCUGCUGCUAAAAGUGCACGGGGACAGUGAAGAGGGGAAGCAAAGCUGACUUGUGAGGUCUGGAAUCUACUCCUCAGGACUGUCAGCUGAGGGGAGCUGUCCUAGAGAUCCUUGGAGAAAAUAGAGGGGAGGAUUUUUAUGUAUGGAAAGAAAAUUCCUCUGUAGGUUUAGAGAGAUGAGAUGAAGAAGAAAACAGCUGACCUGGCUGCAGA